AAGGGAAACAGCCCAGACCACCAGCUAAGGUCCCAAAAUAUAUGUUAAGUGGAAAAGGAUGUGGCGUUGCCCAGACAACUAGGAUGUUGGCUUAGAAGCAGCCAUCAUUUAAAGAGUGCGUAAUAGCUCACUAGUCGAGUGACACUGCGCCGAAAAUGUACCGGGGCUAAACAUAUUACCGAAGCUGUGGAUUGUCCUUUGGACAAUGGUAGGAGAGCGUUCUAAGGGCGUUGAAGCAUGAUCGUAAGGACAUGUGGAGCGCUUAGAAGUGAGAAUGCCGGUGUGAGUAGUGAAAGACGGGUGAGAAUCCCGUCCACCGAUUGACUAAGGUUUCCAGAGGAAGGCUCGUCCGCUCUGGGUUAGUCGGGUCCUAAGCUGAGGCCGACAGGCGUAGGCGAUGGAUAACAGGUUGAUAUUCCUGUACCACCUAUAAUCGUUUUAAUCGAUGGGGGGACGCAGUAGGAUAGGCGAAGCGUGCGAUUGGAUUGCACGUCUAAGCAGUAAGGCUGAGUAUUAGGCAAAUCCGGUACUCGUUAAGGCUGAGCUGUGAUGGGGAGAAGACAUUGUGUCUUCGAGUCGUUGAUUUCACACUGCCGAGAAAAGCCUCUAGAUAGAAAAUAGGUGCCCGUACCGCAAACCGACACAGGUAGUCAAGAUGAGAAUUCUAAGGUGAGCGAGCGAACUCUCGUUAAGGAACUCGGCAAAAUGACCCCGUAACUUCGGGAGAAGGGGUGCUCUUUAGGGUUAACGCCCAGAAGAGCCGCAGUGAAUAGGCCCAAGCGACUGUUUAUCAAAAACACAGGUCUCUGCUAAACCGUAAGGUGAUGUAUAGGGGCUGACGCCUGCCCGGUGCUGGAAGGUUAAGAGGAGUGGUUAGCUUCUGCGAAGCUACGAAUCGAAGCCCCAGUAAACGGCGGCCGUAACUAUAACGGUCCUAAGGUAGCGAAAUUCCUUGUCGGGUAAGUUCCGACCCGCACGAAAGGCGUAACGAUUUGGGCACUGUCUCAACGAGAGACUCGGUGAAAUCAUAGUACCUGUGAAGAUGCAGGUUACCCGCGACAGGACGGAAAGACCCCGUGGAGCUUUACUGUAGCCUGAUAUUGAAAUUCGGCACAGCUUGUACAGGAUAGGUAGGAGCCUUUGAAACGUGAGCGCUAGCUUACGUGGAGGCGCUGGUGGGAUACUACCCUAGCUGUGUUGGCUUUCUAACCCGCACCACUUAUCGUGGUGGGAGACAGUGUCAGGCGGGCAGUUUGACUGGGGCGGUCGCCUCCUAAAAGGUAACGGAGGCGCUCAAAGGUUCCCUCAGAAUGGUUGGAAAUCAUUCAUAGAGUGUAAAGGCAUAAGGGAGCUUGACUGCGAGACCUACAAGUCGAGCAGGGUCGAAAGACGGACUUAGUGAUCCGGUGGUUCCGCAUGGAAGGGCCAUCGCUCAACGGAUAAAAGCUACCCCGGGGAUAACAGGCUUAUCUCCCCCAAGAGUUCACAUCGACGGGGAGGUUUGGCACCUCGAUGUCGGCUCAUCGCAUCCUGGGGCUGUAGUCGGUCCCAAGGGUUGGGCUGUUCGCCCAUUAAAGCGGUACGCGAGCUGGGUUCAGAACGUCGUGAGACAGUUCGGUCCCUAUCCGUCGUGGGCGUAGGAAAUUUGAGAGGAGCUGUCCUUAGUACGAGAGGACCGGGAUGGACAUACCUCUGGUGUACCAGUUGUCGUGCCAACGGCAUAGCUGGGUAGCUAUGUGUGGACGGGAUAAGUGCUGAAAGCAUCUAAGCAUGAAGCCCCCCUCAAGAUGAGAUUUCCCAACUUCGGUUAUAAGAUCCCUCAAAGAUGAUGAGGUUAAUAGGUUCGAGGUGGAAGCAUGGUGACAUGUGGAGCUGACGAAUACUAAUCGAUCGAAGACUUAAUCAA
rnacentral:rRNA from 1 species